UAAUUUGUUGUUUGAAAUACAGCAAUUUUCCGCCAAUUUUCUCACGAGAACCCUAAAAUUUAUCCUAAACGCCCUAAUCUUCUUAGUUUCAGUUCACCGGAAGAAUGGAAGAAACGCCGGUAGAAGAAGGAGAUACUAACAAAGAUGUUGAGAUUGCUCCGGCCUUAAUUGCAGUUCAUCCAGCCGAGAAAUCUGUUGCCGUCGCCGUUGGGUCCGACCUACGUGUAUUCGACCUCGUAGGUAAUUGUCCGGUUUCUUUGGUUGAUGAAUCUGGGGGAUCAUAUCAUAAAGACUCCAUUAGAACGAUUUGUUACGGUUCGAAUGGGCAGCUCUUUGUAUCUGCUGGUGAUGAUAAGACUGUUAAGAUUUGGUCGACUGAGUCUUGGCGCUGUAUUUAUAAUGUGGGUUCUGAAAAACGAGUGAGUGCAGCUGCCAUUAGCCCUAAUGGCAUGCAUGUUUGUUUUGCUGACAAGUUUGGGGUUAUCUGGGUUGUGGAUCUUGAUGGAGGGGUUGAUGGAAAUCAACCUCUGGUCAACAAGAAGGCAGUGUCAUUGCUUUCACAUUAUUGCAGUAUAAUCACUAGCUUAGAAUUCUCAUUGGAUGGGCGGUUCUUAGUUAGUGCAGACCGUGAUUUUAAAAUUCGGGUUACUACGUUCCCCACAAAACCUGUGAAUGAAGCUCAUGAGAUUCAAAGUUUUUGUCUUGGCCAUACGGAUUUCGUAUCCUGCAUAGCCUUCAUUUCGAAGCUGGAAUGCCCACAUGGAUUUAUCAUCUCUGGAAGCGGCGAUUCAACUGUACGUUUAUGGGAUAUUCUAUCUGGAUCACUCCUUGCCACUUGCGAGAUUGGAGAUAAGGUAGAACUCCUUGACUCUAAAGAAAGAGAGGGCUGCCAUUCAGCUGUCACAAGUAUCUGCACGAUUGCCGAUGGUGGCCUUGUUGCAGUGGCGAUUCAGAGCUUGCAUGGAAUAAUUUUGCUAAACUGUGACCUGUCAAAUCAUACUCUAUCUGUAGUCAAGGUGGUUUCUAUAAGUGAGGAGACAUUCAUCCCAACUAGCCUAUCAUCCAGUUGCUCGACUCGAUACCUAUGGAUGGUAACCGGUGUCUCCGGUUUGCACAAUUUGGGGCACUCCUCUCUGGCCCGUGUCAAGGUCAUCAGUGGUUUCAACAAGGACAAUCCGAAUUCCACUGAGAACGAGUUAUCCAUACUGGAAGAUGAUGCAAUACCCGGGGGAGAGAAGCUGCUUGAAAAAUUGCAGGGAGGAGUAACAUUCGACGAAAAAGUGUUCUUGGCAGCUUCCGAAGCUGUUAAAACUGCAAUGAGCAAUCUGUUGACUAAGAAACAGUACUCAACAGAGAAGCGGGACUUCCGAAAGAGAACAAGAAAUGAUAGGAAGCUUAAACAAGGAUGAGUAUCACAUCAGCAGCAACAGUAGCCCGUUUCAUGAGGUGCACUUGAAGCUCAGCAGCAGCCGGAGGGACACCAAUUUGAAGGGGGGCAGUCUCACAGGUUUAAAACUUGUCUGCUGUGAAGGUCUAGUCCCACUUGACUAGUAUAUUAACUUGUCUGCUGUGAAGAAGGUCUAGUCCCACUUUGACUAGUAUAUUAACUUGUCUGCUGUGAAGGUCUAGUCCCACUUUGACUAGUAUAUUAACUUGUCUGCGGUGAAGAAGGUCUAGUCCCACUUUGACUAGUAUAUUAACUUGUCUGUUGUGAAGAAGGUCUAGUCUCACUUUGACUAGUAUAUUGCACCAUCAGCCUAGAGUGGACAAUAUCUAGUAGAUUGUUAUAGGUUCGAGACUAAGGGAGGAGGGUUAUUGGUUGGUUGAGUUAUCUUAUUCCAAAAAUAUAAUAUUAGAAAGUUGAGUCA